GCCUGGGGCCCGUGCCCCCCGCCCCCCCGGCCCGCAUCUUCGCUCCGGAGUCACCUCACGUUCCCAGACCGCACCUUUCCCCGGGGCCCAGGGGACCGCCCGAACUGCUACGGUUUGGAGGCCAUUUUUGCUUGUUUUCUCCUUGGCAAAACAUGAACUCUGCUACGAAAAUAAAAUGAUUUAUUUUUUUAACAGAAAGAAGAAGGAAAAGGGGGAAAACUCAUAAAAAUAAAAGCCCAAGGGCAACUCCAGCAGCAAACCGGACUUCAAGUCUGCGGCGCUGCGGGACGGAAGCGGACGCACCCGGACGUAACUUUGCCUUUGUCUGAACAGAACAGCAGUGACUCCGGAGAAAGCACUGGAAAUUUUGCCUUCCCUUGUCUCUGCCCAAGUGCUGACUCUGGACACCGCCAGUGGCCUCAGCUGUUCCCUUUCCUUCUAGAGGCGGAAAAAGGGAUGAGCCCCAGAACACAUAUUUGGAAACCUCUGUCCUGUCUUGACAAAGGGCUUUCUGAGAAUGUGGCUGAUUCUUCAUCGUUACACAACAGAGGGAGGAUUGAGCAAGUGCGGCCGCCGAGAACGCCAGCUGGAUUCAACUGGAUUUUGUCUCGAAUAUUAAAAACAGGGCCUGGGCUGUCUUCUGACCUCCAGGCCUGGGAGAGGCGUGGCUGGCUCUAGGGCUCUACCGGAGAUUGGGCUAGACAUCAAGAGGGACUUCCUGGCUGGCGAGGCUGUGUAGCAGAGGAAGGAGAAAGGAGGAGCAUCACCGGACUGCCUUCCCUGUGGAAAUAAAUUAAAAAAAAAAAAUACACCAGACUCAAAAGAAGAACGAGGGAGUGGGUCAGAGGCUGCAAGUUUGCGCGUCCCCGUGACCCACCCCGUGACAUCUUUAAAUACCGCUGAAUGACCACAGCUGCUCCCCAAAUAGUGUCCUUGCCUGGUUUUCGAGAAGGUGAAUCUGAGCCCAUGACUCCCUCGCUCCAGAACCUUCUAUAGCGCACCGUUGCCUUUGAAACUGAGUCGAGCUCUUUAAUUGCUGCUCUGCGUGGCCGGGUCUCCGUUUAUGUCUCCUUGGACCUCAUCUCUUCCAUCCUGCCCUGCACUCACCUCUCCAACUGGAACCAUCUGUUUGCUUGGGUGAAGUGAAUCUCCUCGUUUUAGACCAGUGGUGUCUAAUACCAUAGCCGCUCAACUGAUCCAUAAUUUAUAGUAAUAAUUACAUGUUGAAAGAGUAAUAUUUUGCAUAUGUUGAGUUAAAUUUAUUAUUAGAAUUAGGCUCAUUUGUUUCUUUUUACUUUUUAUUGUGGCUACUGGAAACAUUUAAAUGAUAGAGAUGACUGCGUCUGUGGCUAACAGCGCUUCCAUCGCACAGCGCCGGUCUGGAGUGAUGGGUCACAAACUACCGCUCGCCAUCUGUUUCCGUAGAGUCCGUGGGCUAAACGCGGUUUGUUACUUUGGGAAAAUGGUCAGGAAAGAAACUAAGGAAGAAUAUUUUGUGACAUGAAAAUUGUAUGACCCUGAAACUUCAGCAUCCACAAAUAAAGUUUUAUUGGCACACA